GACGAACGCUGGCGGCGUGCUUAACACAUGCAAGUCGAACGGAAAGGCCCUGCUUGUGUGGGGUGCUCGAGUGGCGAACGGGUGAGUAACACGUGAGUAACCUGCCCUUGACUUUGGGAUAACUUCAGGAAACUGGGGCUAAUACCGGAUAGGAGCUCCUGCUGCAUGGGGGGGGUUGGAAAGUUUCGGCGGUUGGGGAUGGACUCGCGGCUUAUCAGCUUGUUGGUGGGGUAGUGGCUUACCAAGGCUUUGACGGGUAGCCGGCCUGAGAGGGUGACCGGCCACAUUGGGACUGAGAUACGGCCCAGACUCCUACGGGAGGCAGCAGUGGGGAAUAUUGCACAAUGGGCGGAAGCCUGAUGCAGCAACGCCGCGUGCGGGAUGACGGCCUUCGGGUUGUAAACCGCUUUCGCCUGUGACGAAGCGUGAGUGACGGUAAUGAGUAAAGAAGCACCGGCUAACUACGUG
rnacentral:rRNA from 1 species